AAUUAAAAUUUACAAAAUAUAAAGGUUUAUAGGGUCUUCUCGGCUUUUAAAAAUAUUUUUGCCUUUUGGCUAAAAAAAAAAAAUCUACAAAAAA
rnacentral:rRNA from 1 species